CAAGCAGUGGGAGCACCCUUUGGGGUGUGACUGCGUACCUUUUGUAUAAUGGGUCAGCGACUUAUAUUCUGUAGCAAGGUUAACCGAAUAGGGGAGCCGGAGGGAAACCGAGUCUUAAUUGGGCGUUAAGUUGCAGGGUAUAGACCCGAAACCCGGUGAUCUAGCCAUGGGCAGGUUGAAGGUUGGGUAACACUAACUGGAGGACCGAACCGACUAAUGUUGAAAAAUUAGCGGAUGACCUGUGGCUGGGGGUGAAAGGCCAAUCAAACCGGGAGAUAGCUGGUUCUCCCCGAAAGCUAUUUAGGUAGCGCCUCGUGAAUUCAUCUCCGGGGGUAGAGCACUGUUUCGGCUAGGGGGCCAUCCCGGCUUACCAACCCGAUGCAAACUGCGAAUACCGGAGAAUGUUAUCACGGGAGACACACGGCGGGUGCUAACGUCCGUCGUGAAGAGGGAAACAACCCAGACCGCCAGCUAAGGUCCCAAAGUCAUGGUUAAGUGGGAAACGAUGUGGGAAGGCCCAGACAGCCAGGAUGUUGGCUUAGAAGCAGCCAUCAUUUAAAGAAAGCGUAAUAGCUCACUGGUCGAGUCGGCCUGCGCGGAAGAUGUAACGGGGCUAAACCAU
rnacentral:rRNA from 1 species